ACCCGCCAGCCCCGCGCUCUACCAGGCAGAGCGCGUGUGGCCGCCGAGCACAUGGACCCACUGGUCAAGCGGGCUCGGCAAGGCCAGGAUGAAGAGAAGCUACGAACUUAGCAUUCCCAGAGCCCCCCGAGUGGAUAUCCGCGUGGAAAGGAUGUUGGCAGCCCCGGUGACCUCGGAGUCACGGCUGGAUCCACCCUCUUGUAAGUUCCAAGUUUAUCCCCUGGAAACUCUGGAGCCCAGGGAUGCAGAGUCUGGAUAGAGGAAAGUGGCUUUUGCAUUCCCACGAGCGCGUGUUAACCUUGCACUUUUCCUCAUCACUAGACUCGAGAUUGCCAGAGAGUUUGGGUGUGGGUGAGAAGUGUGGGUGCGAGGGAGAUUUCCCAGGAUGGCCUCUACAUAGAGGUAAUUCUGGAUUUAUGCACUUGAUCAAGAGCCCAUUUCCUCAGGUCUAAAAGAGAGAGACGCCCCCUGCAAUCAGCGCAGAUUUGGGGCCGCUGAUGUGGUUUGGAGGCCUCAUUUACGAAACUGGAAGUCUGAGUCUAGUCUAGUGAUGCUCCCUCCAUCCUUGGCCAGCCCUCCUCCGAGACACCCCCUCGGGGCAGAAAGAAGGUGAUCUCCUAAAACUCCCUGUGUCAGGAAACUUUCUGUGCUUUUGUAUUGCGUUCCUGUGUUCGUGGAAGGCCCCCACGCCUUCAUCCUUGCUAAUUCUUUUUGGAUAGCUUGUUGCUUUAACUAGAUUGGCCCUUUCUUGGCUAGUAUUUUCUGCUGUACCUAUGAGUGGUGUGGGAGAACUGUGCAGACUUCCAGGAAGCGCAGCCAUGAAGCUACAUGUGCCUAUGUGUAGACACAUCAUGGAUUUUCUUACUAGUUUACUAGUGGGUGAUAAUCUGUCCUUUUGAGCUCUCCAGAACGUUCUAGAAGCUUAAGGAGAGAAAUCACUUAAGAGAGUAUAGGGAGAAGUGAGGUUUUUGUUUCCUUUCUGCUCUUGUGUUUUUAAGGGGUUGUUGUCAUUUGACCUAGAGAAAGCCAAAUGUGUGUGUGUGUGUGUGUGUGUGUGUGUGUGUGUGUGUGUGUGCCUGCCUGCUUGCCUGUCUGUCUGUCUGUUUGUCUGUCUGUGUGUCUGUGUGUUGGGGAGGGCUAAGGAUGCAGGUCUCUGUUGAAGUGCAUGUGGUAGGAUGUUGCAGGCCUGUUUUGCAUAUGGGCAGUGACAAGUUUGGGCUUGUUCACUUGCACAGUCCUAUGGUCAUAGCUAGUCCUUCUUAAAGCUCUAGCCAGUGGGAAAGCGUUUGUGUUUCUAUCCUUGGAGCUCCAAGUGGGACUUCUUAAAAGAUUUAGAAGGAGCAAAGCUGUCAGGAAAUCAGAAACGUCACAUGGACUCCAUGACUGGGAAAAACCUCGUGGUGGCCUGCUCUCAGUGCUUGGAUGUGUGCUAGUUACAUCUCGGAGGUGAGGAUGUGCCUUACGGUUAUUUGAACUCAACUAGGUUCAUGAUGGAUCUGGUGAGACAUUAAGGCUGGUUUAAGACAUUGUGGGCUAUUGUGCUGGGACCCCCACCCCACUCUGUUAGGGAGUGACUGUAUGGGACUGCCUUGUUGUUUUGCCUGGUUAAGGGUGGCUGUUUCUUGCUGCUUUACCUAUUGAGUGCAGGAUUUUGCAUAAACCAGCUUCCCUUGAAAAGUAGAAGAAAUUGAUUUUUUUUUUUUGAUUGAUUCUCCUCUGACUCAUCCUGUUUUGCUUCUGUGACAGCAGUUUACAGAACUGGAAAGGUGUCUCUUUUCUGUUGUUUCUGGUAAUUUGUAUUAUUUGCUCCUUGAAAGUCUGUCUGCUGAGUUCUUACCAUCUCCACGGAUCCGAUUCUUGUCUUCUUUGACCGUGGAAGGCUGGCAGGCAGCCUGCCUGGUUGCUGAGGCCUCUGUCUUCCAUGUCCGGGACCUUCUGUCUGCCUGCCCAAUCUAGCUGCUAUCCUUAGGCACCUCAGCUGUUGACUCUCUUGGAUCAUAGGUUACCUUUGAUUCCAUUUUGUGCAAGAUGCCCUGAAUUUGUUCAUAUUAAGGGCAGACCAGCAUUUUCCUGGGGACUCUGAGGACCUUGGAUAUUUGUUGAACUCUACUACACACACACACACACACACACACACACACAUUUGAAAAUACCAUGAGUAUGGUCUAUGCAUCAUUUUCACCUCCUCUCUUCCCUGCAACUCCUGAUGUGACCCCAAGCCCUCUCAAAUCUCUAACUUCUUUUUAAAUCACACAUAAACAUAAUAUAUAAAUAUAUAGUUUGCUUAGUUCAUUUAACGUUGCUUGUGUGUUUAAAGCUGACCACUUGAAAUUGGAUAACCUAUCAGGGACUCACCCAUGGAGAAAACGAUUCUUCCUCAUUUGGCAGCCAUUAGCUAGCUCUUCCUCGAGGGGUAAGGCUUUGUGAAGUUCGUCACAUUCACGUUGACAUGUAAACUUGUGUUGUGGUGGUCCCUGUUCUUUAGAGUGGUAGCUGAAAGCCAUUAGAUGGCUAUACUUUAGAUGUAUAUUUUAGAUGCCACAUGGCCUUUGCGUGCACUGGCUUGUUAUUGUGUCUUUCUUCCUCUAGUUGGUUGCAGACAUAGCGUUCUGCAUGUUGCUAACACUCCCCCCCCCUCCCUUUUUCUCCCUAAUAUCAGUUUAUGAAAUCACUAAGAGACCAGAACGUAUUUUCCACAGUGCAUUUCAUGCAUAUUGAUUUAAAAAGAUGGGCAGAACAUAAUCUAGAAUAAGAAUAGCUAGGCUGUUGUGGUGCUUCCGUAGUUACAAGUCUGAUGACUUACUGAAACCUACUGUGGCACAAGAGAACCAAGUCCCCAACAUUGUCUUUUGACCUCUCCAGGCAUGAUUUGGCAUAUUUUCUAGCUUACACACACACACACACACACACACACACACACACACACACACAACUUUGGAGCUAGGUGUGGUGGUUCAUGCCUAUAAUCCAAGGAUAUGGGAAGUUGAAGCAGGAGGAUAAGCGUGAGUUCAAGGCCAGCCUUAGCUGUAGGCCAGUUGAACUACAGCUUGUCUCAAAAUUUAAAUAUC
rnacentral:lncRNA from 1 species